UCCCCUUUUUGUUGAGCCGCCGAAGUAGACGUCAUGCGUGGAUUUCGGGCACCGGCGCUCAUUCGGUGUGGAGUUGCUCACGGACGGAGAAGGGUGACAAUAGUCACUCGUGGAACGUGGAGGAAAUUGUGCUCGAUUGGACGAUCGGCACAUCAUCCAGGGACCCCAAAAUGCAGGCAUGUGGUGGGGCACUUCUCGCACAGACAACUUGGAUGGCGCGAAGGGCCCUCACAGUUGUCAUCCGGGAUUGCACUGAAGAUGAAAAUGGAGACCUGACAGAGCUCUGAUCCAGGUGGUAAUAUGGUGGUGAUGCAAUACAGUGAAUCCCAGUUUAUCGCGAGGGAGACGUUCCAUACCCACACGGAAUUUGCGUGCAUGAGUCAUAACCCGCUCCUCCUCUGUGGUUGGAGCCACAUCCUGUUCAGCGCCGCCGUCCCGCUUGCCUCGGAGAACAUUCAACGCUGUCGGUGAGUUUGGUAUGGAUCGCAUCGAAACCAUCGACCGUUGACUGUGCCCUGAGGUUUGCCCCGACAACGUCAGCAAAGAGCGAAGAAUGCCCUCCGGCCGUAACGGGCGGGCGAGUGGGCGCAUGCAAAUCCUGAAGCACGCACACCCUCUGCACCCCGAGCCCCCACCCUCCACCCCCCCGCACACACACAAGAGUCACCCUGUGGUUCCGACCUAAAAGGUCACAAUCAACAUUCAUUGCUGUCGCUGGGUUGGACUGUGUAGAAAAGCUCACUGAACAAUGAGUGCAACUGUGGCCCAGAUCUGCCUUGACUCCAGUCUCGGCCAAUCUUCCCAACCGGAUGUGAAAGGCUGUGAUUUCUUUCUUCAUUACCUUCUCGUUUUUCACUUCUGUAUUCUUCGACCGUGAGUCUCGGGGAGCAGGAGAAAUAGCGACACAGAUAGACUUCUGGCUGCUCGCUUGUCCUCAUCCACCUCUCAUCUAAUUGGCGGUUCUGUGUGCAGCAAGGGGGAAGGAAGCGGAGUGAAUGUGUAAUCAUCUGGAGCCUCUUCUCCUUCAGAUGUUGCAUCCCUCUCUUUUUUGUUCGCCUAAUUAUACAGUGCAUUCGCUCAGCUCCAUGCUAACUGCCUGUCUUACGUUGGCUGUAAUGGACCGGAGGAACAAAUAAACGCUAGAAUUAGUCGAGUUUGUUAGAUAGGCUUUCCGGUGUAGCUUUUAACGGGGUCAUUUUGGACUUCACAAUUGAGGACCUCCCGUUGUGUGUGUUUGACUUUCAUGACACGGUUUCCUCUGGGUGUUGGCGCAUGUGCGCGCGUAAACUAGGGUUUCUCGAACUUGUUCAGCUCAUUACCAUAACAUUAUACAUUAGCUUACCAUAAGUUUACAUAGAGUAAAAUAGAUAUCGUGACAUAAAAAGUACCACUCCCUCGUUUUCUUUUAAACAAGUCAUUCCAUGUAAGUGUCCCUGUUUUGAAAUAAAGUCACACCUACAACUC